CGAACGCUUGCGGCGUGCCUAAGAAAUGCAAGUCGAGCGGGGGAGCAGCAAUGCUUUCCAGCGGCGAACGGUCGCGUAACACGUAAGCAACCUGCCCCAAAGACCGGGACAACAUCUCGAAAGGGGUGCUAAUACCGGAUGUGGUUGUCGGGGGGCAUCUUCCGGCAACGAAAUCCUGCUGCAAGGUGGGGCUUUGGGAGGGGCUUGCGGCCUAUCAGCUAGUUGGUGGGGUAACGGCCUACCAAGGCGACGACGGGUAGCUGGUCUGAGAGGACGGCCAGCCGGACUGGGACUGAGAGACGGCCCAGACUCCUACGGGGGGCAGCAAUUAGGAAUCUUGCGCAAUGGGCGAAAGCCUGACGCAGCGACGCCGCGUGGAGGAGGAAGUCCUUCGGGAUGUAAACUCCUUUUGCCAGGGAAGAAGGAUGUGACGGUACCUGGUGAAGAAGCCCCGGCUAACUACGUGCCAACAGCCGCGGUAAUACGUAGGGGGCGAGCGUUGUCCGAAGUUACUGGGCGUAAAGCGCGCGUAGGCGGGCGGCUAAGUGAGCGGUGAAAGGCUCCGGCUCAACCGGAUGCAGUGCCACUCAUACUGGCGGUCUUGAGGGCGGCAGGGAGAAGUGGAAUGGCUGGUGUAGCGGUGAAAUGCGUAGAUAUCAGUCGGAACACCUGUGGCGAAGGCGGCUUCUUGGGCCGCACCUGACGCUGAGGCGCGAAAGCCAGGGGAGCGAACGGGAUUAGAUACCCCGGUAGUCCUGGCCGUAAACGAUGGAUACUAGGUGUCGGGGGUAUCGACCCCCCCGGUGCCGCAGCUAACGCAUUAAGUAUCCCGCCUGGGGAGUACGGCCGCAAGGUUGAAA
rnacentral:rRNA from 1 species